rnacentral:rRNA from 1 species
UACGUAGGGUGCAAGCGUUAUCCGGAUUCACUGGGUUUAAAGGGUGCGUAGGAGGGCAGGUAAGUCAGUGGUGAAAUCUUCGAGCUUAACUCGGAAACUGCCAUUGAUACUAUUUGUCUUGAAUAUUGUGGAGGUAAGCGGAAUAUGUCAUGUAGCGGUGAAAUGCUUAGAUAUGACAUAGAACACCAAUUGCGAAGGCAGCUUACUACACAAUUAUUGACGCUGAGGCACGAAAGCGUGGGGAUCAAACAGG